rnacentral:rRNA from 1 species
GUUAUAUGGUCAAGUGAAGAAGCGCAUACGGUGGAUGCCUUGGCAGUCAGAGGCGAUGAAAGACGUGGUAGCCUGCGAAAAGCUUCGGGGAGUCGGCAAACAGACUUUGAUCCGGAGAUGUCUGAAUGGGGGAACCCAGCCAUCAUAAGAUGGUUAUCUUGUACUGAAUACAUAGGUGCAAGAGGCGAACCAGGGGAACUGAAACAUCUAAGUACCCUGAGGAAAAGAAAUCAACCGAGAUUCCCUUAGUAGUGGCGAGCGAACGGGGACUAGCCCUUAAGUGGCUUUGAGAUUAGCGGAACGCUCUGGAAAGUGCGGCCAUAGUGGGUGAUAGCCCUGUACGCGAAAAUCUCUUAGUCAUGAAAUCGAGUAGGACGGAGCACGAGAAACUUUGUCUGAAUAUGGGGGGACCAUCCUCCAAGGCUAAAUACUACUGACUGACCGAUAGUGAACUAGUACCGUGAGGGAAAGGCGAAAAGAACCCCGGAGAGGGGAGUGAAAUAGAUCCUGAAACCGUAUGCGUACAAGCAGUGGGAGCAGACUUUGUUCUGUGACUGCGUACCUUUUGUAUAAUGGGUCAGCGACUUAUAUUCAGUGGCGAGCUUAACCGAAUAGGGGAGGCGUAGCGAAAGCGAGUCUUAAUAGGGCGUUUAGUCGCUGGGUAUAGACCCGAAACCGGGCGAUCUAUCCAUGGGCAGGUUGAAGGUUAGGUAACACUGACUGGAGGACCGAACCGACUACCGUUGAAAAGUUAGCGGAUGACCUGUGGAUCGGAGUGAAAGGCUAAUCAAGCUCGGAGAUAGCUGGUUCUCCUCGAAAGCUAUUUAGGUAGCGCCUCAUGUAUCACUGUAGGGGGUAGAGCACUGUUUCGGCUAGGGGGUCAUCCCGACUUACCAAACCGAUGCAAACUCCGAAUACCUACAAGUGCCGAGCAUGGGAGACACACGGCGGGUGCUAACGUCCGUCGUGAAAAGGGAAACAACCCAGACCGUCAGCUAAGGUCCCAAAGUUAUGGUUAAGUGGGAAACGAUGUGGGAAGGCUUAGACAGCUAGGAGGUUGGCUUAGAAGCAGCCACCCUUUAAAGAAAGCGUAAUAGCUCACUAGUCGAGUCGGCCUGCGCGGAAGAUGUAACGGGGCUCAAACCAUACACCGAAGCUACGGGUAUCACGUAAGUGAUGCGGUAGAGGAGCGUUCUGUAAGCCUGUGAAGGUGAGUUGAGAAGCUUGCUGGAGGUAUCAGAAGUGCGAAUGCUGACAUGAGUAACGACAAUGGGUGUGAAAAAC